AAUGCGAGUCGAACGAUGAAGCCCUUCGGGGUGGAUUAGUGGCGAACGGGUGAGUAACACGUGGGCAAUCUGCCGUGCACUCUGGGACAAGCCCUGGAAACGGGGUCUAAUACCGGAUACUGAUCGCCUUGGGCAUCCUUGGUGAUCGAAAGCUCCGGCGGUGGCAGGAUGAGCCCGCGGCCUAUCAGCUUGUUGGUGAGGUAAUGGCUCACCAAGGCGACGACGGGUAGCCGGCCUGAGAGGGCGACCGGCCACACUGGGACUGAGACACGGCCCAGACUCCUACGGGAGGCAGCAGUGGGGAAUAUUGCACAAUGGGCGAAAGCCUGAUGCAGCGACGCCGCGUGAGGGAUGACGGCCUUCGGGUUGUAAACCUCUUUCAGCAGGGAAGAAGNCGAAAGUGACGGUACCUGCAGAAGAAGCGCCGGCUAACUACGUGCCAGCAGCCGCGGUAAUACNUANGG
rnacentral:rRNA from 1 species